CAGGGAAUCUUCGGCAAUGGACGAAAGUCUGACCGAGCAACGCCGCGUGAGUGAAGAAGGUUUUCGGAUCGUAAAACUCUGUUGUUAGAGAAGAACAAGGACGUUAGUAACUGAACGUCCCCUGACGGUAUCUAACCAGAAAGCCACGGCUAACUACGUGCCAGCAGCCGCGGUAAUACGUAGGUGGCAAGCGUUGUCCGGAUUUAUUGGGCGUAAAGCGAGCGCAGGCGGUUUCUUAAGUCUGAUGUGAAAGCCCCCGGCUCAACCGGGGAGGGUCAUUGGAAACUGGGAGGCUUGAGUGCAGAAGAGGAGAGUGGAAUUCCAUGUGUAGCGGUGGAAUGCGUAGAUGUAUGGAGGAACACCAGUGGCGAAGGCGGCUCUCUGGGCUGUGACUGACGCUGAGGCUCGAAAGCGUGGGGAGCAAACAGG
rnacentral:rRNA from 1 species